AACGUACGCCUGGCGGCACGCCUAACACAUGCAAGUCGAACGAAGUAGCAAUACUUAGUGGCAGACGGGUGAGUAACAUGUAGGUAUCUGCCCUUUGGCCUGGAAUAACACGAGGAAACUUGUGCUAAUACCGGAUAAGUCUUCACGGAGAAAGCUUUAUGCACCAUUGGAUGAGCCUGCACUUGAUUAGUUUCGUUGGUGGGGUAAUGGCCUACCAAGACUGUGAUCAAUAGCUGAUUUGAGAGGAUGAUUCAGCCACAUUGGGACUGAGACACGGCCCAAACUCCUACGGGAGGCAGCAGUGGGGAAUCUUGCACAAUGGAGGAAACUCUGAUGCAGCGAUGCCGCGUGAGUGAAGAAGGCCCUUGGGUUGUAAAGCUCUUUCGUCGGGGAAGAAAAUGACUGUACCCGAAUAAGAAGGUCCGGCUAACUUCGUGCCAGCAGCCGCGGUAAUACGAAGGGACCUAGCGUAGUUCGGAAUUACUGGGCUUAAAGAGUUCGUAGGUGGUUGAAAAAGUUAGUGGUGAAAUCCCAGAGCUUAACUCUGGAACUGCCAUUAAAACUUUUCAGCUAGAGUAUGAUAGAGGAAAGCAGAAUUUCUAGUGUAGAGGUGAAAUUCGUAGAUAUUAGAAAGAAUACCAAUUGCGAAGGCAGCUUUCUGGAUCAUUACUGACACUGAGGAACGAAAGCAUGGGUAGCGAAGAGGAUUAGAUACCCUCGUAGUCCAUGCCGUAAACGAUGUGUGUUAGACGUUGGAAAUUUAUUUUCAGUGUCGCAGGGAAACCGAUAAACACAACGCCUGGGGAGUACGACCGCAAGGUUAAAACUCAAAUGAAUUGACGGGGACCCGCACAAGUAGUGGAGCAUGUGGUUUAAUUCGAAGAUACGCGCAGAACCUACCCAACACUGACAUGUUUCGUCGCGACUCUAAGAGAUUAGAGUUUUCGGUUCGGCCGGACGAAACACAGGUGCUGCAUGGCUGUCGUCAGCUCGUGUCGUGAGAUGUUGGGUUAAGUCCCGCAACGAGGCGCAACCCUCACUUUUAGUUGCCAUCAUUAAGUUGGGCACUCUGAAAGAACUGCCAGUGAUAAGCUGGAGGAAGGUGGGGAUGACGUCAAGUCCUCAUGGCCCUUACGUGUUGGGCUACACACGUGCUACAAUGGUAUCUACAACAGGAAGCAAGACUGCGAAGUUAAGCAAAUCCCUAAAAGAUACCUCAGUUCGGAUUGCACUCUGCAACUCGAGUGCAUGAAGCUGGAAUUACUAGUAAUCGUGGAUCAGCGUGCCACGGUGAAUGCGUUCCCGGGUCU
rnacentral:rRNA from 1 species